UAUUUAUUCAAAGCUAUAUUUUUGUAUAGAAUACUACCAAAGUUAUGCAUUUCUAUAAAAUAAAAAACAAAGGCAGAAGAUGAAAUGGUGUAUGGGCAACUAUAACUGCAAUUUAAUGAAAUGGAAAACUAAAAAGAAUAAAAUACAUUAAUAACUUUAACACAAAGUACUGUAAUGGAACUGAAAUUAUAAUUAAUGUUCGCUUUGUUUAUAAGUUCUUUUUAAGGACUUUAGGAGCUUUAAUUCUCCAUGUCUUAUUGCACGUUCUGCACUGCUCAUAGAAGAG